rnacentral:rRNA from 1 species
UACGUAGGGCGCGAGCGUUGUCCGGAAUCAUUGGGCGUAAAGAGCUCGUAGGCGGCCGGUUGCGUCUGCUGUGAAAUCCCGGGGCUUAACCCCGGGCGUGCAGUGGAUACGGGCUGGCUGGAGGCAGGCAGGGGAGAAUGGAAUUCCCGGUGUAGCGGUGAAAUGCGCAGAUAUCGGGAGGAACACCGGUGGCGAAGGCGGCGCUCUGGACCGAGACUGACGCUGAGGCGCGAAAGCGUGGGGAGCAAACAGG